UUUACGUAGGUGAACCUGCGGAAGGAUCAUUCAUAAUAAAGUGUUUUAUGGCACUUUUUAAAAAUCCAUAUCCACCUUGUGUGCAAUGUUAGAUCUCGUCAAUCUUGGCGAGAUUUUUAUACAUCAACUCAUUCUUUAACUAAUUUGUCUGAAAAAUAUUAUGAAUACUUAAUUCAAAAUACAACUUUCAACAACGGAUCUCUUGGCUCUC
rnacentral:misc_RNA from 1 species